GGUAGUGGGGACAACGUUUCGAAAGGAACGCUAAUACCGCAUACGUCCUACGGAGAAGCAGGGACCUUCGGGCCUUGCGCUAUCAGAUGAGCCUAGGUCGGAUUAGCUAGUUGGUGAGGUAAUGGCUCACCAAGGCGACGAUCCGUAACUGGUCUGAGAGGAUGAUCAGUCACACUGGAACUGAGACACGGUCCAGACUCCUACGGGAGGCAGCAGAG
rnacentral:rRNA from 1 species